rnacentral:tRNA from 1 species
GCAUCGGUGGUUCAGUGGUAAAAUGCUCGCCUGCCACGCGGGCGGCCCAGGUUCGAUUCCCGGCCGAAGCA